UCCUGGUCUCCUUCCUUCCUCCUCUCCUUUCACAGGUGUGAGACCCACAUCAGGGUCUAAAGUCUCUCCCUGCCUCCCCCUACUUCCUCCCUCUUUCUCUUCACAGGUGUUUCCUCCAAUGACCCUCUCGGGCAUCUAACCCUGUCUUAGUGUGUACUUCUCAGAGGACCCAAACUUCUACACUAGUCCAUUCAGAGCUCCCGGUGGUCAAGUAAGAAAUGUUUUUAAAUAUAUCCUUUUGCAUUUGGUUUGGAUUUAUGUGGAGAGUUGGAAAGAACUGGUCAUAGAAGAACAAUCGUCCUCAUGCUCCUGGACCCAAGAGAGUUCCAGCAUCUUAAAGAACUCUCCUCUGAGACCAUAGUAAGUAACCAUAAUAAUAAUUACAAUGAAAUCAUUUCAUCUUUUACUUGCAAUAACCAUCUAAAUGCUGUGGGUGGGUAUUUAAAUGCUCGUGUUAGAGAGCAGGAGGCCCGGAAUGGUGAGGAGGCUUGCCUGAAGUGACAAUGGCUUUGUGGGUGGACAGGUCUAGAGAAGCCUGACAUCCUUCUUCUCAAUGCUGCCACAGCACAUGCUCCUGGUUUCACAUCCAACUGCAAGACAGAACCCAUUAAGAAUCAAUUCAAUAUGAAGUGACCCUUUUGGGUGACAUGAUUCAACCCAAAGACCUUCAUUUCUGCAAAAUAAGCAUCAAAUUCGAUGGGCAUUUUUUAACCACCCUUAACUGACUGUAACUGACUGGUCAGAGUCAUUCUCAGCAACAUGAAGCCCCCCCCCCCACCUCACACAUUCUAAUCACAGCACCUGGCACCAUGCCAAGAAUACAAACAGUGCAUCACAACAAUUGGCUGGCUGUUGUUGGAUGGACUGACUUUGGGUUUUCCCAAACGGCAUAGUCUUGUUUUCAAAGAUGACAACUAUAGCCGUCUUUGUAAAACGUGCACGUCAUUUCAGUGGCAAACUGAUGACGAUAGCAUGUGACAGAUAGCAUUUAUUGCACCCCUUUCUUUGUGCAGUGUCUGUGCCAGAACCACCCUCAAUUAUUAUCCCAUUUUGUAGAUGAGAAAAUUGAGGCUUGGAUCUAUUAAGCAACUUGCCCAGUAUGUCAUAGCUAAUAAGUGAUAGAGAUCAGAUGCCGCCCAGAAUGAAGAACCACUCGUCAUCCUCUCUCCUUCCCAGAGAUAAGCCAGAAUUGAGCACAAAGUCCCCACCUUGGUCCAAUAAUGGCGUGAAACAAGACUGAAAUCAUGAAUAAUACAGAAUGAUCACUCUUUAAAGAAAUAUUUCCCAGUGCUUCAUUCAAACUAGAUUUAAAAAGUGAUAGGAAGGGUGUGCAUUAGACCUUUUGGGCUGUGAGCUAAGUGGAAAGAGGUUUAUAAUUAUCUCAUUACAUACUUGAUAACAAAUGCUUCCAAGAUGCUUGCUGCAUUCCACACCAUUUCUCUUGGAUAUUUUCCACAGCUCGCUGUCAUUUUACUGACACUCUAAUAGAAAAGUUUGAACACCCAUAGGAAAUUGCCCAGAGAAAGGAAUGAAGGGAAUCGGACUUUGAUGGUUCCCUGUCUUGCUGAGGACAGGCUUGGUCAUAGCUGAGCAGUCAGUCCUUGAUUACACCACCAGCCUCCCCUACCCUGUUCUCUCCUUGACCACACUGACCAACGCAUACCAAAGGCGGAAAAUGGAUGGUGUGAUAUUCAUCUUUUACCGUGCUACCAAGUUUAGGAAGAGUCGUCUGCAUGGACAAGAAUAGUUCCAGGACUGCUUCUCUCAGACUCGGAGAAAUAAGGAAAACAAAAAGAAUAAAUAGGGGAAAAGGCAAGGAGAGGACAUUCUAGUCAUUAUUUCUUCACGUAUUACUUACUCAUCCCCCAACAAAACCAUACUGAGUGCCUAUUUUAGGUCAGGCACUGAGUUAGGAACUGGUCAACUAAAUAGACGUGAGAAGGAAAUGACAAAAAAGAUAUGGCAGACUCUCCCUGCCCGUGAGCAUGCCACUUCUUUCCUAGUUCCAGCCACAGUAGAUGAAUCAUGGUUCUUCUCAGACAAUCAUGGUUAUCACACCCCCUUUGGGAGCAAUUAGUUUAGGGUCAGAUGAGUGACACAUUUCUGGCCAAUGGCACAUAAUGAGAAGUUUGCAAGGGGCCUUCUGGAGAAGAUUUCCUUCCCCAGCACAAAGGAAGUAAAGGAGGGGGCCCUUUUUGCCACCUGCUUUCUUUCAUCCUGCAUGAAAAGAUGUCCUGAAAAGACAUGAUGCUUAGAGCAGAGGCAGCCACAUUGCAACCAUGAGGAGAGUCAUCACCGAAACUCCAAGGAUGGGAGAACACAAAGAUGUGCGGAACGUGGGUCUGCAAUGUCACAUCAAGGUGAUAUGCAUCAGAAUCCAACAAACAUGUGAUCAGUUCAAGUAGGCUUAACCCUUGGUAGGAUUUGUGGAGUGUCUUGUUUUAUUAAUAAUUACAAAAAAAGAGAGAUUUAGUCCAGCUCUAUUUUGUACCAGGCAAUGGGCAAGGUGCCCUUUACAACAUCUUUUUUCAUCAGCACAAGAGAGGCACGCUGAUGCUCACAGGGGUAAGAUAUGGCAGCCACUUCAUAUCCGCCCCACCCAGCUCCGAUCUGUAAUUCCCUCUCCUCCUAUUAAUAGCACCUCAAUUCUCCUGUGGGUGGUUCCUGAUGAACCAUCAGCUGUGGUGUCUUGGCCCCCUCUCACAUACCUGAUACAUAGCAAAGCUUAAAAAAUCUACUGUUUUCUCUAAAGCACACUUGUCUUAUUCUCUUGAUCCCAUUAGAUAUAUAGCUACAUCGAUAUCAAUAUCGAUAUUGAUGUUGAUAUUGAUAUCGAUAUAGAUAUAUUGGGGUCAAUAUAGAUAGAGAUAGAUAGAUGAUGGCUAGAUCUGCUCUUCUCUCAAGGUUUGACCAAAUUAAAAAAAAAAGACUAUCUCUCAUAUCUCUUGCAGGAAACAACAUAUUUUAAAAACAUUUACCAUAAAAGUAAGGUUCUUCUUAGGAGACAAGCGAAGUUCCGGUCUUCCAAAUGCUGAUUUUUCUCAUUGCAGACUAGCUUCGUGUACGUGGAGAAGGUGCACCAUUACCAGGAAACAAAGAGUCAGAGAGAAAAUAUAUGGUAG
rnacentral:lncRNA from 1 species